AAGGCUUUAGCUUAAUUAAAGUGUCUGUUUUGCAUACAGGAGAUGUGGGUUAAUGUCCUGCAAGUCUUA
rnacentral:tRNA from 6 species